rnacentral:sRNA from 1 species
AGCUUAAUAAUCAGAUGCAGAAGUCUGUUUGUUCUGAUUUCUGGUACAAUCAAAUUUCUUUAGCAGCAGAAGAAUCCUUAUUUGUACUGGAGAGAUGAUGGUGAAAUAACCCUUAGAUCACUAGAAACAAAGCUUUCUAUUUGGUUGGCCUCAAUGCCAAAAAAGUCAUCUCAGUGAAGAUUCCGUUUCUGAUAAUGGCACAUUCGAUGGUGUAUUUCUGGGCGAUUAUUACUCUUCCCAUGUGCUCGGUGUUGCUCUAUGUCUGACCUUUUUCUUUGUGACAAACCCCAUCUCAGGUGCUCUGUAGCACUUUGAAACACACUGCCAAGGCUGUCUUGUUUUAUUGCUUAAAUAAGGAGUAAGAAAGUGGCAGUCUGCUGUGCUUUGACUUUUUCAAUUACAGGAAUCUUUAAUAAACAGUCAUUCUACCCUUUCCUUACAUGCAAGUGCAGUUGUAAAUAGGGGAAUGGGAGUUCCCAUCUAGUCAAAUUAAAGACCCGUUCAAGCCAAAGUAGUACAAGAUGCUACAAUAUUUCAAAUGUAUGACAUUUAAAUCCUAAUAUCUCUUCCUUGUGACAAAAUGUUCAAGGUAAUAGAUUGUCACAACAUGAACCAUUCUCAUGACAAUAAAUGUAAUGAGAUUGUCAGAAACACAAACCUAACUAUGAUGCAAUCUGGAGAUUGUAAUCUAGUUUGGUUCUGCCCAAGAGCUAGAAAGCAUGUUCUGUGAAUUGUGUUCUAUUUUUAAAUUGUAGUGUGUUAUUCUUUCUUUCCUCUAAGCAAAAUUUUUAACUGAGAUAUUGAAUUUAGCUACCCACAUUUUUCCAGCAAUUGGAUAUGUUUUCCUACUUGGUUUUUCAAUUAUUAUACUUAAAAUUAAGGAUCAAGUACUCUUAUCUGGGAAUGUGUCUCCUCUUCUCCCUCACUAUAGGAUUUCUUUGCCCAUGUGGGUUUAAUAGUUGUUUUUCCUCCCUAUUCUUACAGCCAGCAAUACAGGAAUGCACAGGAGGCAAAUCACUGACCUUUUAGACCAAAGUAUUCAAGUGCAUUCCCAGUGCUUUGUCAUCACUUCAGACAACCGCUAUAUUCUCGUCUGUGGCUUCUGGGAUAAGAGUUUCAGAGUCUAUUCUACAGACACAGGAAGAUUGAUCCAAGUGGUGUUUGGCCAUUGGGAUGUCGUCACUUGCCUUGCUCGUUCUGAGUCAUAUAUUGGGGGAAAUUGCUACAUUCUCUCAGGGUCACGUGAUGCAACUCUUUUGCUGUGGUAUUGGAAUGGAAAAUGCAGUGGGAUUGGAGAUAACCCAGGCAGUGAGACUGCUGCUCCUCGGGCCAUUUUGACAGGCCAUGACUAUGAGGUCACAUGUGCUGCGGUGUGUGCCGAGCUAGGCCUGGUGUUGAGUGGUUCACAAGAAGGACCAUGUCUCAUACAUUCCAUGAAUGGAGACUUGUUGAGGACCUUGGAGGGUCCUGAAAACUGCCUGAAACCAAAACUCAUUCAGGCUUCAAGAGAGGGUCAUUGUGUCAUAUUCUAUGAAAAUGGCCUCUUCUGUACAUUCAGUGUGAAUGGAAAACUCCAGGCCACGAUGGAAACAGAUGAUAACAUAAGAGCCAUCCAGCUGAGCCGAGAUGGGCAGUACCUGCUCACAGGAGGAGACAGAGGAGUGGUCGUGGUCCGGCAGGUGUCGGACCUCAAGCAGCUCUUUGCCUAUCCAGGAUGCGACGCUGGAAUCCGGGCCAUGGCGCUGUCUUACGACCAGAGGUGCAUCAUUUCUGGCAUGGCUUCAGGAAGCAUUGUGCUAUUUUACAACGACUUUAACCGGUGGCAUCAUGAAUACCAAACCCGCUACUGAUGGUGACAGCUGUACAUCAACUCUGCCCCUAGGAUGAGCAGAAGUACCUGAAGCAUCAUUCUCUUCUACCACAUCUGAAUGUAACUUAAAUUUGCUCAAAGAAGCAAAAUAUUUUUUAAAGUUAUUAAUAAUUGCUAUUUUUGUAGUCUUUGCUUGACUUUUUUGGGGGGGAUUAGCAAAGCAGAAAACUGGCUGCUGGGUUCUGUAGUUUUAAAAAAUCUAUAUUUUUAGUCAUAAUGAGAAGUCUAUUUUCACCAAUUAUGGAAACAUACAGUGGAGCAAGUAAACCACUUAUUCCAGCUAUAAUAUUAUGAAGAACAUUUCCCAUGCAUCUACAAGCUUGAGAAAUAGGAUUUUCACAGUGGGGAAGUGGGUUAUAAUAUUGGAAUAGGAAAAUUUGAUGCUGUAAUUUGGGUCCUGUAUUUUUCCAAACAACUGUGCUUCUUCAGCACUAAUAUUUCUGGGAUUUAAAUAGUAAUGUUUAAAUUAUGGUAAAUGUAAUUUAAAACAUCUCAAUUAAUUCUAUCAAUAUUAUUCUUCAAGCAUGUUUUAGACCUAGAAAAGUAUGGUUUGGGGGAGGCUAUUUUAUUGUGUGGUUAGCACAGGAAUCUAAUUUAUAGCAAGUGUGAAAUAGUUUCCAUUUUUUCCUGAUCUGUCAUCUUCAUAGCACAACAAAAUGAAAUGAUGGCAAUGCUCUUGAGCUCACAACAUUUGUUUUUCUUUUAAAAAGUAAAUGCAAGUACCAAAGCUCACUACUGCGGUUUGCCUGUGCCGGGACAAUGAGGCGGAGCCACUGUUGGGGCACCCCCUUCCCUCCCCGGGUUUGCAAAUAGAGGCUACCAGGUGCUGUAUUCAGCAACACCUGUUUUACUAUUUGUUAUUAAACUAUCUAUCUAUCUCCACCUUCCUUUUGAUUAGCAAUUUGUACUAAGAAACAAUGUUAUUUGGUGUUGUAUAAUUCUACUUUUCUAGUAGAUUACUGUGUAGAAUUCUGUGAAAAAUAUUUGAGAAAAGGCCUGUAUUGCAUAAAUAAAUUCUUUGUAUGUUGUGAA